UGCAUUUGGGUCGAGUUAUUAUUUCAUCAAUGCCAGUCUUGAAAUAUCAAACCAAUUUGAGCCUAAACAGAAACACAUCCUGUUUGUUUAUUAGUCACAAGAAGAUGUCACAUAAAAAGAGAUGGUGCCAAAGUCAGGGGUUAAAAGUGGGACAGUGUUUUUUUGUGUUGUUUUUGCCACAGGUGUCCGUAAGUGACGGUUGGAGUACUUCAGCCUCUAGCUAGUGCUACAAAAGAGGAGCGAACAUAAAGGGAGAGCCUUUCUUUUAAGUGGCAGGGGGAGAAAAGAAAGAGAGCUAACGUCACUCAGAGAUGGAGAAAGAUAAGAAAGACAGAACAAGAGAGGUUAGAUAUAAAGGGUUUCCACCAGUUUAUCAAAGUCCAGCCUGACCUAAAGCCGAGUCAUGCAUCUCUUUGUAACCAAGCAGCAAGAAGCAACUGACAGCCUUCAGAACAUUUGGAACAUUUAAAUAAAUACAAGUGUCAAAAACUGCAGUUCAUCUAAUGGAGGCUGGCUCCAAAAAGUGGGUCAGUCCACAUAGACUCAUGUGUUAAGAUGCCCAGCUUAAUAGUAUUAAAGACCUUUAAGUUUAUGACCUGGUGCUAAAGGUGUUGACUGUACAGUUGUUACAGGGUGGAAUGGACAAUUUAAACUGAGUGUUUUUCAUCUUGCAUGGGUUGCUGUGUUUUAUUAUUUUUAAUCUUUUAACAAUGUACAGUGUUUUAUUCUUAUGGUUUUAUUGCAUGUUUUAUUGUAUAUAUUUGUUUACUUGUCUCGGAGAGACUCCGCCCCUUCCUGACUUACUAAGCUGACCCACCUGAGAGGUCAGGACUGCGAGAAUGACCAAUCAGGGUUCGCCUUUCGGACACUGUAGGCCAUAGGUGUCAAACUCUGGCCUGCGGGCCAAAUUUGGCCCGCGAAGCCAUACCAAAUUACUAUUAGAGCUGGCCUACUGGUAUUAUACAGCUAAUAUAUAUAUUGUUUAGUAUUAAGCUUUGCUUGUUCCAUAUUCAGUUUUUCAGCAAAAUGUGUUUGAGUCCAUAAGAAAAGAUUCAUUCUUAUAUCUGGAGGAAUAAAUAUAUUUCAAUAAAUAUUAACGUUAGCCCGCGACUUUGUUCCAGUUUUGAAUUUUGGCCCACUGUGUAUUUGAGUUUGACACCCCUGCUGUAGGCCAAUAAGAGGGCCUGGCGGGAUGAAAGAAAGGACAGAACAUGAGAGGCAGCUAUAUGAUGCGGCAGCUGGUGGUCUGCGGCGUCCGUGGAGAGCGGCAUGGAAGCGUGGAUAUAGGCGGCCUGGCGAGGCGCGCGGCGAAGGUGAACAGACGGAGGGGCAGCAGGACGGCGACGAGAGGAGACCGCGGCAAAGUGCUCGGGGACGAAGAGAGGACUGUGCUGGUGCUGGAGGGGAAGUAGCUCGACGCCGAGAAGAGACCACGGAGGGGAUUAAGAGGCAGCGGGAAGGCACCCUAUCUCGUCCCACGGCGAGACCAUAGCUACGGGUGCGAAACACAGCAAAGCGGCGGGCAGAGUUGAGAGCUCUGCCCAUCCGGGGUAAGUGCCGAGUAAUUCCUUGUGAGAAGGAACUCCGGUGACAUAAAACAGUGACUGUCGCUGCUCCCUCUCUUUUUUCAGUUAGCACCGGAGCGAAGAGGCGGACAAGGAAGGCCGAGGAAGCUGACGUUUUUCCCCCGUUGGCACUUUAGUGGAUUUUAAUGUUGUGGCUGAGGCCAUUGGACUUCUAGUGUAUUGUUUUCAUGUUUUUAACUUUGUUCUCCCUGGCCAGGGGUGUUUUAAUUGCGUGUAAGUCUUUUUGUUAAAUAAAUUAUCUUUUAAUACUUUACCGUUAUAAUCUAUUGCAUUGGUUCCCUGUACCUGCUCUGUCAGUUUUUUUUUUUGUUUUUUGAAGGGCUCCCCUUAGCGUAACACCUGGUGUCCACAAGUCAGAGACGCAGACGGUACAAGAUCAAUUACUUGUGUGGUGAAGAAGAUAACGGCAUAGUAGCAGUCUUUUCGGUGAAAAUACUCAUACUUCGGUGAAUUCCGAAGGUUGUGAGUACUUCACCUUAAGUCCCAGUCAGUGCAUGUGCACUAGCAUAGCGUGCUAAUUGCCGCUAACAAGGAACCCCAUUAGCUUCCACAACAGUGAUUGCUAGUCUUCCUGGGGC
ensembl:lncRNA